AGUAACACGUAGGUAAUCUACCUUUGGGUGGGGAAUAACAACCGGAAACGGUUGCUAAUACCGCAUAAUGCAGCGGCACCACAUGGUGACAGUUGUUAACGCGGGGGAUCGCAAGACCUCGCGCCUAAAGGGGAGCCUGCGGCGGAUUAGCUAGUUGGUAGGGUAACGGCCUACCAAGGCAACGAUCCGUAGCCGGCCUGAGAGGGCGGUCGGCCACACUGACACUGAAAUACGGGUCAG
rnacentral:rRNA from 1 species